rnacentral:rRNA from 1 species
GGUUAAGCGACUAAGCGUACACGGUGGAUGCCCUGGCAGUCAGAGGCGAUGAAGGACGUGCUAAUCUGCGAAAAGCGCCGGCGAGGUGAUAUGAACCUUUGACCCGGCGAUGUCCGAAUGGGGAAACCCAGUGCAAUUCGUUGCACUAUCGUUAACUGAAUACAUAGGUUAACGAGGCGAACCGGGGGAACUGAAACAUCUAAGUACCCCGAGGAAAAGAAAUCAACCGAGAUUCCCCCAGUAGCGGCGAGCGAACGGGGAGCAGCCCAGAGUCUGAAUCAGCUUGUGUGUUAGUGGAAGCGUCUGGAAAGUCGCACGGUACAGGGUGACAGUCCCGUACACGAAAGCACACAGGUUGUGAACUCGAAGAGUAGGGCGGGACACGUGGUAUCCUGUCUGAAUAUGGGGGGACCAUCCUCCAAGGCUAAAUACUCCUGACUGACCGAUAGUGAACCAGUACCGUGAGGGAAAGGCGAAAAGAACCCCGGCGAGGGGAGUGAAAAAGAACCUGAAACCGUGUACGUACAAGCAGUGGGAGCACCUUCGUGGUGUGACUGCGUACCUUUUGUAUAAUGGGUCAGCGACUUAUAUUCUGUAGCAAGGUUAACCGUAUAGGGGAGCCGAAGGGAAACCGAGUCUUAACUGGGCGUUAAGUUGCAGGGUAUAGACCCGAAACCCGGUGAUCUAGCCAUGGGCAGGUUGAAGGUUGGGUAACACUAACUGGAGGACCGAACCGACUAAUGUUGAAAAAUUAGCGGAUGACUUGUGGCUGGGGGUGAAAGGCCAAUCAAACCGGGAGAUAGCUGGUUCUCCCCGAAAGCUAUUUAGGUAGCGCCUCGUGAACUCAUCUUCGGGGGUAGAGCACUGUUUCGGCUAGGGGGCCAUCCCGGCUUACCAACCCGAUGCAAACUACGAAUACCGAAGAAUGUUAUCACGGGAGACACACGGCGGGUGCUAACGUCCGUCGUGAAGAGGGAAACAACCCAGACCGCCAGCUAAGGUCCCAAAGUCAUGGUUAAGUGGGAAACGAUGUGGGAAGGCACAGACAGCCAGGAUGUUGGCUUAGAAGCAGCCAUCAUUUAAAGAAAGCGUAAUAGCUCACUGGUCGAGUCGGCCUGCGCGGAAGAUGUAACGGGGCUAAACCAUGCACCGAAGCUGCGGCAGCGACGCUUAGGCGUUGUUGGGUAGGGGAGCGUUCUGUAAGCCGUUGAAGGUGUGCUGUGAGGCAUGCUGGAGGUAUCAGAAGUGCGAAUGCUGACAUAAGUAACGAUAAAGCGGGUGAAAAGCCCGCUCGCCGGAAGACCAAGGGUUCCUGUCCAACGUUAAUCGGGGCAGGGUGAGUCGACCCCUAAGGCGAGGCCGAAAGGCGUAGUCGAUGGGAAACAGGUUAAUAUUCCUGUACUUGGUGUUACUGCGAAGGGGGGACGGAGAAGGCUAUGUUAGCCGGGCGACGGUUGUCCCGGUUUAAGCAUGUAGGCGGAGGUUCCAGGUAAAUCCGGUACCUUUUAACGCUGAGGUGUGAUGACGAGGCACUACGGUGCUGAAGUAACAAAUGCCCUGCUUCCAGGAAAAGCCUCUAAGCAUCAGGUAACAUCAAAUCGUACCCCAAACCGACACAGGUGGUCAGGUAGAGAAUACCAAGGCGCUUGAGAGAACUCGGGUGAAGGAACUAGGCAAAAUGGUGCCGUAACUUCGGGAGAAGGCACGCUGAUAUGUAGGUGAAGCCCCUGCGGGUGGAGCUGAAAUCAGUCGAAGAUACCAGCUGGCUGCAACUGUUUAUUAAAAACACAGCACUGUGCAAACACGAAAGUGGACGUAUACGGUGUGACGCCUGCCCGGUGCCGGAAGGUUAAUUGAUGGGGUUAGCGGCAACGCGAAGCUCUUGAUCGAAGCCCCGGUAAACGGCGGCCGUAACUAUAACGGUCCUAAGGUAGCGAAAUUCCUUGUCGGGUAAGUUCCGACCUGCACGAAUGGCGUAAUGAUGGCCAGGCUGUCUCCACCCGAGACUCAGUGAAAUUGAACUCGCUGUGAAGAUGCAGUGUACCCGCGGCAAGACGGAAAGACCCCGUGAACCUUUACUAUAGCUUGACACUGAACACUGGUCCUUGAUGUGUAGGAUAGGUGGGAGGCUUUGAAGCGUGGACGCCAGUCUGCGUGGAGCCAACCUUGAAAUACCACCCUUUAAUGGCUGGUGUUCUAACGUAGACCCGUAAUCCGGGUUGCGGACAGUGUCUGGUGGGUAGUUUGACUGGGGCGGUCUCCUCCCAAAGAGUAACGGAGGAGCACGAAGGUUAGCUAAUCCUGGUCGGACAUCAGGAGGUUAGUGCAAUGGCAUAAGCUAGCUUGACUGCGAGAGUGACGGCUCGAGCAGGUGCGAAAGCAGGUCAUAGUGAUCCGGUGGUUCUGAAUGGAAGGGCCAUCGCUCAACGGAUAAAAGGUACUCCGGGGAUAACAGGCUGAUACCGCCCAAGAGUUCAUAUCGACGGCGGUGUUUGGCACCUCGAUGUCGGCUCAUCACAUCCUGGGGCUGAAGUAGGUCCCAAGGGUAUGGCUGUUCGCCAUUUAAAGUGGUACGCGAGCUGGGUUUAGAACGUCGUGAGACAGUUCGGUCCCUAUCUGCCGUGGGCGCUGGAGAAUUGAGGGGGGCUGCUCCUAGUACGAGAGGACCGGAGUGGACGCAUCACUGGUGUUCGGGUUGUCAUGCCAAUGGCACUGCCCGGUAGCUAAAUGCGGAAAAGAUAAGUGCUGAAAGCAUCUAAGCACGAAACUUGCCCCGAGAUGAGUUCUCCCUGACCCUUUAAGGGUCCUGAAGGAACGUUGAAGACUACGACGUUGAUAGGUCGGGUGUGUAAGCGCAGCGAUGCGUUGAGCUAACCGAUACUAAUGAACCGUGAGGCUUAACCUU